rnacentral:sRNA from 2 species
AAAGGUCAACGCGGGAGGCUUCUACAUAGAACAUACGCCACUGCCCGGAAAUGUCGAGAGACACCAAUGGGAUAACAGGUUUUGUCGGAUUAAGGCUUUACCUAGUGUGGCUGGAGCAGUUGGCUCCUAGCUGUGUAUGUGCCAAAACUCGAACGAGCGGGGAAGAUU